GAUGAACGCUGGCGGCGUGCCUAAUACAUGCAAGUCGAGCGAACAGACGAGGAGCUUGCUCCGCGGACGUUAGCCGCGGACGGGUGAGUCACACGUGUAUAACCUACCUAUAAGACUGAGAUCACUUCGGGACACCGGAGCUAAUACCAUAUAAGAUAUUGAACCGCAGGGGUCAAUGGUGAGAGACGGUGUUUCUGGCACGUAUAGCUGGAUCCGGGCGGCAUUAGCUAGUUGUUAAGGUCACGGCUUACCAAGGCAACUAGGCGUAGACGAACGGUGAGAGUGGUCGGCGACAUUGGAAGUGAGACGCGGUCAAGGGUACUACGGGAGGGAGCAGUAGGGUAUGUUCCGCAAUGGGCGAAAGCAUGACGGAGCAAGGCCGAGUGAGUGAUGAAGGUGUUGGGAGCGUAAAACUCUGUUAUGAGGGAAGAACAAAUGUGUAAGUAACUAUGCACGGAUUGACGGUACCUGGUAAGAAAGCACCGGCUAACUACGUG
rnacentral:rRNA from 1 species